AUGGCGAGCACAUACCCGUGGUAUGGGGCCACUACAGACAGAGGCUGGGGCUCCCGAUGGCCUUACGCAAGCACCGAAGGAACCACACCGGACUGGCGAUAUCAGACGUCAUCUGGCAGCAGUUACGG